CAGGCCCUAAGAGAAUGUAAAUACAGUGUCAGCCUUCCAAACCAGAUUGUUUCCAACAAUGGAGAUACAGAAGGGGCCUCUGAUACAGUCUUUCUAGAAUAUUCCAUCCAGUUUCCUAAGACAUUGCUGCCCUACACCGGCCAGGUUUCAGAAAAUAACGUUUGCGGAAUGUGACAGCACAGGACUGAAUGACUCCACUACAACAGGAAGGUAGGCUGUGGAGAUGGGGCUGCUGCAGCGAACGGGCAAGGUCCCACCCUGGAAAGGCCCACUCAGCUACCCUUUGUUGGCCUUCCUGCCUCACCCUACCCACUACCUAUGGUUUGUACCAAGGCAGCUAUUACAUCACUCCUAAUUCAAACUGCAUCACUGCUCAUCAGCCCCAGGGGAGAGUCAAAGCCCGGAGGUCCACAACACACGUAACCCUGGUUCUGAUGGCACCCUGAUGCUCUACGUGACACCCUUCCUCAGACAAGACUCAGACUUCUCGACCAUUCCAUUUAAAAGCCACAUCUUCAGGCAGAGGCAGGAGGACUGCCAUAAGUUCCAGGCUAAUCACACAAGGGCUAAGUGUGGAGACUCUGUCUCAAUCAAUCAAUCAGGAUAAAUAACUAGACGCAUUCUAGAAACUGGGGGCUGGCAAGAUGGCUCAGUGGUAAAGACACCCACAGCCAGGCCCGAGGACUCGCAUUCUGUCCCCAGGAUUCACAUGGUGGAAACAGAGAACAGAUUCCCAUUAGCUGUCCCCUGACCUCCAG